rnacentral:rRNA from 1 species
UACAGAGGGGACAAGCGUUGUUCGGAAUUACUGGGCGUAAAGGGCGCGUAGGCGGCCUGCUAAGUCGAACGUGAAAUCCCUGGGCUCAACCCAGGAACUGCGUCCGAUACUGGUUGGCUUGAAUCCGGGAGAGGGACGUGGAAUUCCAGGUGUAGCGGUGAAAUGCGUAGAUAUCUGGAGGAACACCGGUGGCGAAGGCGACGUCCUGGACCGGCAUUGACGCUGAGGCGCGAAAGCCAGGGGAGCAAACGGG